rnacentral:rRNA from 1 species
AACUAAGCAUAUCAAUAAGCGGAGGAAAAGAAACCAACAGGGAUGGCCCCAGUAACGGCGAGUGAAGCGGCCACAGCUCAAAUUUGAAAUCUGGCCCCAGGCCCGAGUUGUAAUUUGCAGAGGAUGCUUCGGGCGCGGUGCCUUCCAAGUCCCCUGGAACGGGGCGCCAUAGAGGGUGAGAGCCCCGUAUGGUUGGACGCCAAGCCUGUGUGAAGCUCCUUCGACGAGUCGAGUAGUUUGGGAAUGCUGCUCUAAAUGGGAGGUAGACCCCUUCUAAAGCUAAAUACCGGCUGGAGACCGAUAGCGCACAAGUAGAGUGAUCGAAAGAUGAAAAGAACUUUGAAAAGAGGGUUAAACAGCACGUGAAAUUGUUGAAAGGGAAGCGCUUGUGACCAGACUUGCGCCGGGGCGAUCCUCUGGCGUUCUCGCCAGGGCACUCGCCCCGGGGCAGGCCAGCGUCGGUUCGGUUGGGGGGACAAGGACCUCGGGCAUGUAGCUCCCCCGGGAGUGUUAUAGCCCGUCGUGCGAUGCCCCCGCCCGGACCGAGGUACGCGCUCUGCAAGGACGCUGGCGUAAUGGUCACCAGCGGCCCGUCUUGAAACACGGACCAAGGAGUCGAGGUUCUGCGCGAGUGUUUGGGUGCCAAACCCGCACGCGCAAUGAAAGUGAACGUAGGUGGGAGCCUCGGCGCACCACCGACCGAUCCUGAUGUUCUCGGAUGGAUUUGAGUACGAGCGUUGGGCCUCGGACCCGAAAGAUGGUGAACUAUGCUUGGAUAGGGUGAAGCCAGAGGAAACUCUGGUGGAGGCUCGCAGCGGUUCUGACGUGCAAAUCGAUCGUCAAAUCUGAGCAUGGGGGCGAAAGACUAAUCGAACCAUCUAGUAGCUGGUUACCGCCGAAGUUUCCCUCAGGAA